GCACUGUGCAAAAUCGCAAGAUGACGUAUACGGUGUGACGCCUGCCCGGUGCCGGAAGGUUAAUUGAUGGGGUUAGCGCAAGCGAAGCUCUUGAUCGAAGCCCCGGUAAACGGCGGCCGUAACUAUAACGGUCCUAAGGUAGCGAAAUUCCUUGUCGGGUAAGUUCCGACCUGCACGAAUGGCGUAAUGAUGGCCACGCUGUCUCCACCCGAGACUCAGUGAAAUUGAAAUCGCUGUGAAGAUGCAGUGUACCCGCGGCUAGACGGAAAGACCCCGUGAACCUUUACUACAGCUUGGCACUGAACAUUGAACCUACAUGUGUAGGAUAGGUGGGAGGCUAUGAAGACGUGACGCCAGUUGCGUUGGAGCCGUCCUUGAAAUACCACCCUUGUAUGUUUGAUGUUCUAACUUAGACCCGUUAUCCGGGUUGAGGACAGUGCCUGGUGGGUAGUUUGACUGGGGCGGUCUCCUCCCAAAGAGUAACGGAGGAGCACAAAGGUGGGCUAAUCACGGUUGGACAUCGUGAGGUUAGUGCAAUGGCAUAAGCCCGCUUAACUGCGAGAAUGACGGUUCGAGCAGGUGCGAAAGCAGGUCAUAGUGAUCCGGUGGUUCUGUAUGGAAGGGCCAUCGCUCAACGGAUAAAAGGUACUCCGGGGAUAACAGGCUGAUACCGCCCAAGAGUUCAUAUCGACGGCGGUGUUUGGCACCUCGAUGUCGGCUCAUCACAUCCUGGGGCUGAAGUCGGUCCCAAGGGUAUGGCUGUUCGCCAUUUAAAGUGGUACGCGAGCUGGGUUUAGAACGUCGUGAGACAGUUCGGUCCCUAUCUGCCGUGGGCGUUGGAAGAUUGAAGGGGGCUGCUCCUAGUACGAGAGGACCGGAGUGGACGAACCUCUGGUGUUCGGGUUGUGUCGCCAGACGCAUUGCCCGGUAGCUAAGUUCGGAAUUGAUAAGCGCUGAAAGCAUCUAAGCGCGAAGCGAGCCCUGAGAUGAGUCUUCCCUGACAGUUUAACUGUCCUAAAGGGUUGUUCGAGACUAGAACGUUGAUAGGCAGGGUGUGUAAGCGUUGUGAGGCGUUGAGCUAACCUGUACUAAUUGCCCGUGAGGCUUAACCAU
rnacentral:rRNA from 1 species